rnacentral:sRNA from 1 species
GCUGGGCGUGGUGGCUCACGCCUGUAAUCCCAGCAUUUUGGGAGGCUGAGGCAGGAGGAUCACCUGAGGUCAGGAGUUUGAGACCAGCCUGACCAACAUGGAGAAACCCCGUCUCUA